CUCCAACGAUGACUUCUGUGUCUGGGCCACUGAAUGUUCUUGAUGGUAUUGAGGAACUGCAGGAG